UGGGGAAUUUUGGACAAUGGGCGCAAGCCUGAUCCAGCCAUGCCGCGUGCAGGAAGAAGCAUCUAUGGUGUGUAAACUGCUUUUGUACGGGAAGAAACACUCCUACGUGUAGGAGCUUGACGGUACCGUAAGAAUAAGGAUCGGCUAACUCCGUGCCAGCAGCCGCGGUAAUACGGAGGUUCCAAGCGUUAUCCGGAAUCAUUGGGUUUAAAGGGUCCGUAGGCGGUUUAAUAAGUCAGUGGUGAAAGCCCAUCGCUCAACGAUGGAACGGCCAUUGAUACUGCUAGACUUGAAUUACAAGGAAGUAACUAGAAUAUGUAGUGUAGCGGUGAAAUGCUUAGAUACUACAUGGAAUACCAAUUGCGAAGGCAGGUUACUACUUGUGGAUUGACGCUGAUGGACGAAAGCGUGGGGAGCGUACA
rnacentral:rRNA from 1 species